rnacentral:rRNA from 1 species
GAUGAACGCUGGCGGCGUGCCUAAUACAUGCAAGUCGAGCGAACAGACGAGGAGCUUGCUCCUCUGACGUUAGCGGCGGACGGGUGAGUAACACGUGGAUAACCUACCUAUAAGACUGGGAUAACUUCGGGAAACCGGAGCUAAUACCGGAUAAUAUGUUGAAUCGCAUGGUUCAACAGUGAAAGACGGUCUUGCUGUCACUUAUAGAUGGAUCCGCGCCGCAUUAGCUAGUUGGUAAGGUAACGGCUUACCAAGGCAACGAUGCGUAGCCGACCUGAGAGGGUGAUCGGCCACACUGGAACUGAGACACGGUCCAGACUCCUACGGGAGGCAGCAGUAGGGAAUCUUCCGCAAUGGGCGAAAGCCUGACGGAGCAACGCCGCGUGAGUGAAGAAGGUCUUCGGAUCGUAAAACUCUGUUAUUAGGGGAGAACAAAUGUGUAAGUAACUAUGCACGUCUUGACGGUACCUAAUCAGAAAGCCACGGCUAACUACGUG